AUUGAACGCUGGCGGCGGGCCUAACACAUGCAAGUCGGGCGAGCGGCGGACGGGUGAGUAACACGUAUCCAAACUGCCCUUUACUCGGGGACAGCCUUUCGAAAGAAAGAUUAAUACCCGAUAUCAAGGAUGGGGAUGGGUUCCAUUAGGUUGUUGGUAAGGUAACAGCUCCCCAAGCCUUCGAUGGAGAGGGGUUCGGAGAGGAAGGUCCACGCCAUUGGAACUGUGACACGGUCCAAACUCCUACGAGACGCAGCAGUGGGGAGUAUAUGUUAAUGGACGCUAUCCUGAACCAGCCAAGUAGCGGGAAGGAUGAAGGCUUAUGGGUCGUAAACUACUUGUAUAUAAGAAUAGGUAUUAUAUGAAUAAGGAUCGGCUAACUCCGUGCCAGCAGCCGCGGUAAUUC
rnacentral:rRNA from 1 species